rnacentral:rRNA from 1 species
CUAGUAAUCGUGGAUCAGCAUGCCACGGUGAAUACGUUCCCGGGUCUUGUACACACCGCCCGUCACACCAUGGGAGCCGGCAAUACCCGAAGUCAGUAGUCUGACCGCAAGGAGGACGCUGCCGAAGGUAGGAUUGGCGACUGGGGUGAAGUCGUAACAAGGUAGC